AUUGAACGCUGGCGGCAUGCCUUACACAUGCAAGUCGAACGGCAGCACGGGAGCAAUCCUGGUGGCGAGUGGCGAACGGGUGAGUAAUAUAUCGGAACGUGCCCAGUCGUGGGGGAUAACGCAGCGAAAGCUGUGCUAAUACCGCAUACGAUCUAUGGAUGAAAGCGGGGGACCGCAAGGCCUCGCGCGAUUGGAGCGGCCGAUAUCAGGUUAGCUAGUUGGUGGGGUAAAGGCCCACCAAGGCGACGAUCUGUAGCUGGUCUGAGAGGACGCCCAGCCACACUGGAACUGAGACACGGUCCAGAAUCCUACGGGAGGCAGCAGUGGGGAAUUUUGGACAAUGGGCGCAAGCCUGAUCCAGCAAUGCCGCGUGCAGGAUGAAGGCCUUCGGGUUGUAAACUGCUUUUGUACGGAACGAAACGGUGAGCUUUAAUACAGUUUGCUAAUGACGGUACCGUAAGAAUAAGCACCGGCUAACUACGUGCCAGCAGCCGCAGUAAUAC
rnacentral:rRNA from 1 species